AGAUGAUAUGUGAUGUGUAUGUGAUGGGUUGGCAAAGGUGUAAUUACAGUAGCUGCCACGGCUCGUCAUAUUUGGUGAAUGAAAUGUUAUUGAUCGAGGCAGCCGGAGGCAUUUCGAAACACUGAAAAAAACGCCUGGAGUUUUAGGAUAGCAAUGUUUAGAGUUACGAUAUUAUUCUAUGCGUUCUUCCAUUGACCUGCACCGGUGCCGCCCCUUGGAAUGAACUCUGUUUUGACCACAUCAGGAGCUGCUUGAAUGGGAGCCACGAUGGCGGCGCUUAGGAGCCACAAUAGCGGCCAAAGUGUAAUCAGUGCCUAAGCGGCUUAUUUCAUCCGAGGCGAUCCCAGUCGGAUCUGGAGUUCCACAUCAAACACCACCAGGAAAUGGCUUGCAAUUAAAUCAAUGAGUUUCAACUGAACCGAGCGAGAGAGAGUGACUGGGACAGGGUUCCCUCCCCUCGAAAUCCCCAGAUGAGCCAUUGUCAUUAUCUAUUCGGAUAUGCGCCUUCAAAGACGUGGCGCUGCUAACAAGAAAAUGAAACGUGAAGUAAAAAGCAGCAGAAAAAUCAUGCAAAAGUUUUUGGUACGACGCUUCAUUGUUUUGUUUAUUAUUUGGCGCAUUAUUGUUUUUGAUUGCAUUUUAAAGUCGGGUUUUAUGGACUGCUAAUGGCGGCGACGCAUGCGAUUCUCGACUGGAUCCGAUCUCGACUGGAACUAACCUAACCGUUAGUUAGCCGGCCCAAUCCGACCGAGCGACGUGUGAAGUGAAAAUGAGAAGGAAAACUGAAACUGAAACUGAGCUGAACUGAAACGCUGACCACUCGGAAAGACAAAUUUGCCAAUGCUCCAUUAGUGCCUCCGUGGCGGUGCGGUCGUAAUUAAUAUAACCGAACUGAAAAAACUGCAAGAAACAACACCGCACACACAACAAAUACUGCGCGUAAUUAAUACGGGCGUAUUUAAAUAUCAAUUUGCAGUCACCACAUCGAGCUGCAUACGAGUACAUCGAAAGGAAGCAGUCCCCCCAUUUUGAGUCGAAGAAAAAUAUGCGCGAUUGCUGCUAAUUACAGAGCAGCAGCAGCAUCAGGUCGCAGGAUUGGGCACAGGGGAGCCGAGGUAUCUGGGAUCUGGAAUCUGGGAUCGGGAAUCUUGAAUCUGGUCGAAGAUGGGGCCAAACAGCGGGUAACUAAGCCACUCCUUGCGAGAGUUGGCAUUAGCCGACAUAAAUGCUAAGUGGCGUCAUCAUUUAAAACGCAUCAACAGCCCGCAAGGAUGUGGUGCUGCCAUGGCAUACAUAUGCUGCAUAUAGAUGCUGCAUGCUGCUUGCUGCAUGGUGCAUGGAUUGUCAUCAGGCCACGCGGACUGGUCGGGCAUCAAUAAUCGUCAUAAAGAUCUCCAACGGUAGCCAGCGAUUGGAGAGAUAUGGUGAGAUAUUCAGCGAGGUUACUUAGUUUACGAAUACUCUAUUUGCAUGUAGAGAUACCAAGUGGGUGGAAAAACUUGGAACAUAGCGGGAAAUUGGUAUCACUUCCUCCCAAACUCCCAGCUCCAGUUCUUCAGCUUUUCGCUGGGUUAAGGGCUCUAUGUGAGCUCUCUUAAAAAGUAGCCAAGAUAGCCAAGAUUUUAUAAAAUACAAAUUAUAAAGUGUAGUUUCAUAAAGGGUA